rnacentral:rRNA from 1 species
GACGUAGGGCGCGAGCGUUGUCCGGAUUUAUUGGGCGUAAAGCGCGCGUAGGCGGCCCUGUAAGUCCGCUGUGAAAGUCGGGGGCUCAACCCUCGAAUGCCGGUGGAUACUGUCGGGCUAGAGUGCGGAAGAGGCGAGUGGAAUUCCUGGUGUAGCGGUGAAAUGCGCAGAUAUCAGGAGGAACACCAAUUGCGAAGGCAGCUCGCUGGGACGUAACUGACGCUGAGACGCGAAAGCGUGGGGAGCAAACAGG